GUGGGGAAUCUUGCGCAAUGGGCGAAAGCCUGACGCAGCCAUGCCGCGUGAAUGAUGAAGGUCUUAGGAUUGUAAAAUUCUUUCACCGGGGACGAUAAUGACGGUACCCGGAGAAGAAGCUCCGGCUAACUUCGUGCCAGCAGCCGCGGUAAUACGAAGGGGGCUAGCGUUGCUCGGAAUUACUGGGCGUAAAGGGCGCGUAGGCGGACAGCUUAGUCAGAGGUGAAAGCCCAGGGCUCAACCUUGGAAUUGCCUUUGAUACUGGCUGUCUUGAGUUGGGGAGAGGUGAGUGGAACUCCGAGUGUAGAGGUGAAAUUCGUAGAUAUUCGGAAGAACACCAGUGGCGAAGGCGACUCACUGGCCCAAUACUGACGCUGAGGCGCGAAAGCGUGGGGAGCAAACAGGAUUAGAAACCCGAGUAGUCC
rnacentral:rRNA from 1 species